rnacentral:lncRNA from 1 species
CCAGGUCUUACAACAUCUCUAGGGCUAUUGGAGUCGCCUUGGUCCAUCCACAUCAUCAUAGUCAUCAUAUUAUGCAAUGCGCCAUAUUCGUGAAACUAGUGCAAUCAACCUACUAUAAACAGCAUGAUGCAUGAACAUGCUUGAGGCAUUUAAUUGUUUUAAAAUAAAGAUGAAGUUGAGUUCUACUCACCUCUGGCUGACUCUGGUCUAACUUGGUUAACUCUGGUGCAG